ACACAGUCUUUGAACUGACAUUUCACAGUAUAGGCUGAGCAUAACUGUGCUGAGUGUACUUUGAACAAGGUUCCAGCUGCCUGGACAUCUAACUGAGAGGCCUCCAAGGUCAGUUUUGAGCUCCACUCCAACAAAAUGUCUGUGGAGUUUCCUCAAAGGGAUUGGGGAAUACUUAGUUUCUCUGAGUAACAAAGGGCAGAUAAAGGAAUCUCCAGGCCCAGAAGUGCUGUGAGUGUUUCUGUGAGUCAAGAGACAAAGUCUUUAUACUAAGGCCCUAGGCAGGGGCAACAGACUUACAUGCCAGCUAAGCUGACAUUAGCCAAAGACAUUGCCUCUGCACAAAUAUCCUCAGGGCAACAGAAACUGAGCCAACGCUCUUCUGAGCCUUGAAAAGGAGAAAGGAAAUGAGCUGCUGAUGCCAUUCAGAUAUGUCUCACAGCGGUUGCACUAUGCCUUGAAUUUACCUCAAAUUAAGUUUCUGCUGAAUUCAGAACUGGGAAUGUUGGCCAGGAUAUGCAGCAUGAUGAUCUUAGCAAUGAGGAGGACAACUAUUAAUAAUGGUGAGAUGCUACCCAGUUUUUCCUCCAAGGGAGUAAAAAAAAAAAA